ACCAGGUGACCCUGAGCAGAGAGACACCAGGUGAUUCUGAGCAGAGAGACACCAGGUGAUCCUGAGCAGAGAGACACCAGGUGAUCCUGAGCAGAGAGACACCAGGUGAUCCUGAGCAGAGAGACACCAGGUGAUCCUGAGCAGAGAGACACCAGGUGAUCCUGAGCAGAGAGACACCAGGUGAUCCUGAGCAGAGAGACACCAGGUGAUCCUGAGCAGAGAGACACCAGGUGAUCCUGAGCAGAGAGACACCAGGUGAUCCUGAGCAGAGAGACACCAGGUGAUCCUGAGCAGAGAGACACCAGGUGAUCCUGAGCAGAGAGACACCAGGUGAUCCUGAGCAGAGAGACACCAGGUGAUUCUGAGCAGCAAAAGUUCUCAUUUGGGACAACGUGCGUUUCCCAUUGGGCUGCUCAGGUCCGCAACUGCUUCCAUGACAACUGAUUCCAGAAUAUAUUGCCUGUGAUGUUGAUGAAAAUCUGUGGCUGGACCAAAACAACAGACAUGACUGAUUUUGUUUUCAUAAUGGAGUAUUUGUUUCUUGACCUAUAAUUUAGAUACUAGUGUAUUUUGACAGUUUAUUGAUCUAACAUACAGUACAAUAGUACAAAUAGGACUAUUUUGUCUUCCUUUGCAUAUUCCAAUAUAUAUUUACUGUAUGUUUGUAUUUUGACUGUAUGUGUGUUUACAGUAUGCUGUCAUGUAAUGAGUCACGUUGAAAUAUAAAACUUACAUGUUAUUUUAUUUUAGUACACACAAACAAUUUACAGUAUAACAGCAUCUUAGUCUUUACACUGAAAAUAGGUUCUGAUAGUAGUGUUUGGAACAUGUCCCAUUAGUGUGAUCUCUGUUGUCACUAAGUUAGAUUAAUUUGAUGUGUGUCUCAUUUGAAAGCAGAGUUUCAUUUUGAGCAGGGAAUACCUGAUUUUUGAUUGGUGUGUUUCAUUUUCCAAGAUGUCUGUGGGGUUUUGGGUAAAUAUGCUAACUGUUUAGAGUUUUUCUGUUUUUAAGCUUUAAGUACCUGAGAUGUAGUUUCAGCAAUCGUGUGUUAACAAUUGGGAAAAACUGUAACAAAAUAAAUAUUGCAUGCCCCAUUACUCUCUCACAGAGGGG